rnacentral:rRNA from 1 species
GACGAACGCUGGCGGCGUGCUUAACACAUGCAAGUCGAACGGUAAGGCCCUUCGGGGUACACGAGUGGCGAACGGGUGAGUAACACGUGGGUGAUCUGCCCUGCACUUCGGGAUAAGCCUGGGAAACUGGGUCUAAUACCGGAUAGGACCCUGGGAUGCAUGUCCUGGGGUGGAAAGCUUUUGCGGUGUGGGAUGGGCCCGCGGCCUAUCAGCUUGUUGGUGGGGUGACGGCCUACCAAGGCGACGACGGGUAGCCGGCCUGGGAGGGUGACCGGCCACACUGGGACUGAGCUACGGCGCAGACUCCUACGGGAGGCAGCAGCGGGGAAUAUUGCACAAUGGGCGCAAGCCUGAUGCAGCGACGCCGCGUGAGGGAUGACGGCCUUCGGGUUGUAAACCUCUUUCAGCACCGACGAAGCGCAAGUGGCGGUAGGUGCAGAAGAAGGACCGGCCAACUACGUGCCAGCCGCCGCAGUAA